GUUAAGCGACUAAGCGUACACGGUGGAUGCCCUGGCAGUCAGAGGCGAUGAAGGACGUGCUAAUCUGCGAUAAGCGUCGGUAAGGUGAUAUGAACCGUUAUAACCGGCGAUUUCCGAAUGGGGAAACCCAGUGUGUUUCGACACACUAUCAUUAACUGAAUCCAUAGGUUAAUGAGGCGAACCGGGGGAACUGAAACAUCUAAGUACCCCGAGGAAAAGAAAUCAACCGAGAUUCCCCCAGUAGCGGCGAGCGAACGGGGAGCAGCCCAGAGCCUGAAUCAGUGUGUGUGUUAGUGGAAGCGUCUGGAAAGGCGCGCGAUACAGGGUGACAGCCCCGUACACAAAAAUGCACAUGCUGUGAGCUCGAUGAGUAGGGCGGGACACGUGGUAUCCUGUCUGAAUAUGGGGGGACCAUCCUCCAAGGCUAAAUACUCCUGACUGACCGAUAGUGAACCAGUACCGUGAGGGAAAGGCGAAAAGAACCCCGGCGAGGGGAGUGAAAAAGAACCUGAAACCGUGUACGUACAAGCAGUGGGAGCACGCUUAGGCGUGUGACUGCGUACCUUUUGUAUAAUGGGUCAGCGACUUAUAUUCUGUAGCAAGGUUAACCGAAUAGGGGAGCCGAAGGGAAACCGAGUCUUAACUGGGCGUUAAGUUGCAGGGUAUAGACCCGAAACCCGGUGAUCUAGCCAUGGGCAGGUUGAAGGUUGGGUAACACUAACUGGAGGACCGAACCGACUAAUGUUGAAAAAUUAGCGGAUGACUUGUGGCUGGGGGUGAAAGGCCAAUCAAACCGGGAGAUAGCUGGUUCUCCCCGAAAGCUAUUUAGGUAGCGCCUCGUGAAUUCAUCUCCGGGGGUAGAGCACUGUUUCGGCAAGGGGGUCAUCCCGACUUACCAACCCGAUGCAAACUGCGAAUACCGGAGAAUGUUAUCACGGGAGACACACGGCGGGUGCUAACGUCCGUCGUGAAGAGGGAAACAACCCAGACCGCCAGCUAAGGUCCCAAAGUCAUGGUUAAGUGGGAAACGAUGUGGGAAGGCCCAGACAGCCAGGAUGUUGGCUUAGAAGCAGCCAUCAUUUAAAGAAAGCGUAAUAGCUCACUGGUCGAGUCGGCCUGCGCGGAAGAUGUAACGGGGCUAAACCAUGCACCGAAGCUGCGGCAGCGACGCUGAUGCGUUGUUGGGUAGGGGAGCGUUCUGUAAGCCUGCGAAGGUGUGCUGUGAGGCAUGCUGGAGGUAUCAGAAGUGCGAAUGCUGACAUAAGUAACGAUAAAGCGGGUGAAAAGCCCGCUCGCCGGAAGACCAAGGGUUCCUGUCCAACGUUAAUCGGGGCAGGGUGAGUCGACCCCUAAGGCGAGGCCGAAAGGCGUAGUCGAUGGGAAACAGGUUAAUAUUCCUGUACUUGGUGUUACUGCGAAGGGGGGACGGAGAAGGCUAUGUUGGCCGGGCGACGGUUGUCCCGGUUUAAGCGUGUAGGCUGGUUUUCCAGGCAAAUCCGGAAAAUCAAGGCUGAGGCGUGAUGACGAGGCACUACGGUGCUGAAGCAACAAAUGCCCUGCUUCCAGGAAAAGCCUCUAAGCAUCAGGUAACAUCAAAUCGUACCCCAAACCGACACAGGUGGUCAGGUAGAGAAUACCAAGGCGCUUGAGAGAACUCGGGUGAAGGAACUAGGCAAAAUGGUGCCGUAACUUCGGGAGAAGGCACGCUGA
rnacentral:rRNA from 1 species